ACGGGAAGCAGGUGGCGCGUGACUUCACCUACAUCGACGACAUCGUGAAGGGGUGUCUCGGGGCGCUGGACACCGCCGAGAAGAGCACCGGGAGCGGCGGGAAGAAGCGUGGGCCGGCCCAGUUGAGGAUUUACAAUCUGGGCAACACCUCGCCGGUGCCGGUGGGGAACCUGGUGUCCAUUCUGGAAAACCUGCUGAACACGAAGGCGAAGAGGCACGUGAUCAAGAUGCCGUCGAACGGCGACGUUCCGUACACACACGCGAACGUGAGCCAGGCCUUCCGCGAUUUCUCUUACAAGCCCACGACCGACCUCCCCAGCGGGCUCCGGAAGUUCGUGAAGUGGUACGUGGGCUAUUACGGGCCCCAGCUGAGGCCCAAAAAGGAAUCUCGUCUUGACAACUGAUGCCCUGGCCACGUCAUCUUCUCCUUUAAUUAUUGCUUCUGUCAUUCUUUUUU
rnacentral:lncRNA from 1 species